UUUCAGAGCCGUGUUCUGGAGAUUUUACAAAGUGCUGCCCUUGCCACCAGAGCUGACAGAGGAUCCCAGCCUCCUCACGUGGCUCCUGCCCAGCUUGGAGAAAAGGCUUCUGGAGAACAAGGUGAUAAAUAAUUUCCUUACUCCAUACUCUAUGGCUAAUAAAUUUAGAAGACAGAGAGGAAACAAGAAGCAAUCCCAGGAGAAGAAUUGGGAAUUGUUGGGAAUUGUUUCCCUUGGUGUUUUCAUUAGAACUUGUAACCCACUGUUCUCCCACUGGUUAUUUGGAGAAGGAAGAAUAAUAGUACCAAGAGGAUGCUGUCAUGGAAAAAUGUCUAUUUACAUCUUCUUAGAGUAUAAAAAUGCCUGGAAGGUGGCAGACUUCUCUGCUUCUUUUGGUGGGGUCAGAACAAGUGGGACUAAAAAGUCACGAUGAGAUCAGUUUACCCUGCUUUUUAAUGGAAAUAAGGCUGAUGAGGUCACUCUUAGGCAUAUUUUGGGUAAUUUCCUCCCUAAAACUGACAACAAAUUUCAAUUAAAUUUAACAGACAGUGAGCAUCUUGCCUCAGAAGCACAGUUUCUACAAAUUUCAAGAAGACAGGCAGCCGAAGAAAAAUACCCCAUCAACUGCCAGUGGGGGAAGUGCCACAACACAGAUGCCACCUCUGUUAUGCACCAGAUGAUCCAAAUGCAUGGUAGAAAGCUUAUUCUGCUGUGACUGCUCAAGGACACUCCAGGUGCAGCUCAAGGAACUUCGACUACAAGAGAGAUUUGUUCUGUUUCAGUAUUGGCUCCGUGGACAGGUGGAUGUGAUAUUAAAAGCCUGGAGGCAGGGCUGAGCACCAUCGAGUCGUUGUGGCUGCUCUGCACAGGGAGCGUGGCAGGAAACACUCGCUGAGCUGCAGGAGAAGGGCUAACAUGAGCCUUGGCCCUGCCAUCCUCUGGGAUCUCCGGGGACACUGCAAGCACUGGCAAAGAGCCGAGAGCCAUGGGAGCAGCGCUGAGCGAGGCUGUGUCCCAGCCAAGGAGUUCCUCCUGUGUCCCUUAAGAGGAUACCCCAGGGCUGGUUUUCUAAUAAAGACUUCUGAUCAGACCA